rnacentral:rRNA from 1 species
UACGAAGGGAGCUAGCGUUGUUCGGAAUUACUGGGCGUAAAGGGCGCGUAGGCGGACAUCUAAGUCAGGGGUGAAAUCCCAGGGCUCAACCCUGGAAUUGCCUUUGAUACUGGACGUCUCGAGUUCGGGAGAGGUGAGUGGAAUUCCGAGUGUAGAGGUGAAAUUCGUAGAUAUUCGCAAGAACACCAGUGGCGAAGGCGGCUCACUGGCCCGGUACUGACGCUGAGGUGCGAAAGCGUGGGGAGCAAACAGG